rnacentral:lncRNA from 1 species
AGCGGUUAUUUCUCACACUAAAUAGAGCUAAAAAGAAGCACUAAGAACACCAAAAAAUGAGUUUUUUUUUAGACUUUCUCUCACUAAAACAUGAUACACAACAAACCCACAAUAUACUCAAGCUUUUGCUCACUUUCUCUCUCUAAAAUAGAGCAGACAACCCACAAUGGACUCUCUCUCUAAAAUAGAGCAAACAACCUACAAUAGACUCAAGCUUUUGCUCACUUUCUCUAUCUAAAACAGAGAGAUAACAACGCUCAAGAGAAAACUCAAUUGCAGCCCAAUCCCUUUAUCUUUUUCUCACUCUUUCACUCUCUAAACAAAAAGAUUUUAAUCCUUUUAGUUUCUAAAGUUCCUACAACAUCAUAACUGAAUUAGAUAGAAU